UUGCAAGGAUUUGCUGUUAUCUCAGCUGGUGGUGUAAUCAGCAUCCGUGAUACAUCAAGCAACAUUCAUCGUUACAUUUUUUAGCAUAAGUGGAGUUGGUGUAGUUAACCAUUACUUUAUUUACGGUCACUGCUUUUAAGGCCGUCUACCUCUCAUCGCAUCACGCGUGAGCUUAUGAUUUGGGCAAGUUUCUAGUGCUUGUCAAGCAUCUCGUAGCCUUAAAAAUCAUGUGAACCGCACGCGAUGCUCUGACAUCGUAAUUGCUUCUUUACUCUUAUCUGGCCAUCGCGAGGUGAAGCAAGGGCACCGCGGCGGACUGGAUGGCUUCAUACAUGGUUUUUUGUGCAUGCAAUGGUGUGCUAAAGUAAAAGUUUCUCGUCUCCGCUAAACUGCGAACCUGAGAGCAAGGAAGAAGCCCUUGUACCAAUGAUGCCAUGCAUCGGCUGUCCUAGGUUUCUCGUGAUAUGCCACACAACCAUGUCCCCUACUCCAUUGCCUGCCUAUAUAUAUGAUAUGGCACUGUCGCAUUGCUCUGAGUAGCUCCGCCCUUUCUGAGAAUUGUGAAAAAUUCCUGCAUUCGAUUUAGUCUGGCGCAUGACAUUAUCCAUGUUUUUGUUUCUACCUGAGUCUAUGUAGCAUGGGUUUCGUGUCAGUAUCUCUUGGUGGGCAUAUAGAUAUGAUAUUAACCAACACGAUGAAAAUAUCUCAGUUCUUAAAUUGAGAUGAUGAUUGAAGUUUUAGAAACCUUAUUGUGUCUGGGGAAUGAUAGGAUGAGUGAGGCAGCGAACCGAGAGAGAGCCGGUGUUUGCCAAGCGGCACCUUCGCCGGCGAUCGAUGACCUCGAAACAGCUGUGGCAAUCGAUGGUGAUUCCGAUAAAGGGUUUUCCUCUGGAGAAGAUUCCUCAGGGGAGGAAGAUGGUGCAUCCAACUCUAAAACAAGGGACGGACAUGACCGGUGGCAAGUCUGAGGCAGGUCCCAGACGGCGGAUGCAGCAAGUCUCAGAGGAGGAAGUGGAGAACUUGACACCGUUAGAAGGUUAUUACUUUCCCCUGGGGAGGAGUCGGAGGAAUCAAGGGCAAAUUGGAGACUUUGCCGACGCUCGAGAAGGGACUGAGGAGGGCGCCAUUUGGCUUCUUCCCUGAAGAAGAACAUGUGGAGGCUAGAAUUUGAAUAGGAAACUAUUCCAAUUUCUAACGACCACGGCAUAUUCACGAGACGACCAUGGUCUGUCGCCGGCCAAGUGCUGGCCCUUGAACCGUGGAGACGAUAUUUUCAGGCAACCAAAACACCCAUCCGACAUGGAGAUAUCACUGGAACAAUUGUUUUCUUGAUCUUUAAGUUGCUCAUUAACGUUGCAUCUUGACAUAUCUGCUUAAAACUACCCAUCUUCAUCUGAUUUGAAAGCAAUUACGCAUUUUUUUAAAUUUAUCAUUUAUUUUACAGAGUAUGCGACGAGGCAAAUGACGCUUCUUUAAAUUAGAUUUUCUUUUAUAGGUUUUGUUGGUGCAUGCUGUGUCUAACUGCUAGUAGGUUCUGAUUGGGCUGCCAAUUUAGGUGUAAUAAAUGCCUUCAUACAUAUCCGAGCGAUGUCACAGUUUUGCGAUAAGGCAUGGCAACCCCCACCAACUCAAAAGCAUGUGGUUCAUACCAAAAAAAAAAUUCAAAAGUA